UGGUACACGCCUGUAAUUCCAGCUCUCAGGAAGCUGAGGCAAGAGAAUCGCUUGAACAUGGGAAAUGGAGUUCGCAGUGAGCCGAGAUCAUGCCACUGCACUCCAGCCU